CCUACGGGAGGCUGCAGUCGAGAAUCAUUCACAAUGGGGGAAACCCUGAUGGUGCGACGCCGCGUGGGGGAAUGAAGGUCUUCGGAUUGUAAACCCCUGUCAUGUGGGAGCAAAUUAAAAAGAUAGUACCACAAGAGGAAGAGACGGCUAACUCUGUGCCAGCAGCCGCGGUAAUACAGAGGUCUCAAGCGUUGUUCGGAACCACUGGGCGUAAAGCGUGCGUAGGCGGUUUCGUAAGUCGUGGGUGAAAGGCGCGGGCUCAACCCGCGGACGGCACAUGAUACUGCGAGACUAGAGUAAGGGAGGGGGAACCGGAAUUCUCGGUGUAGCAGUGAAAUGCGUAGAUAUCGAGAGGAACACUCGUGGCGAAGGCGGGUUCCUGGACAUUAACUGACGCUGAGGCACGAAGGCCAGGGGAGCGAAAGGGAUUAGAUACCCUGGUAGUC
rnacentral:rRNA from 1 species